CACAAUCUCUCAAGAACUCUGAAAUCUGAAAUUGCAAUCAUUUCUCCAAACUCCCACAUUUCUCUCUCACUCUCUCUCUCUCUUAUGGGCACCUCCCUAAGCCGCGAAGGUGAAGACCUCUCUGACUCUGAAUCAGAGUACCUAUCGGAGGAGGAGGAAGAAGUCCAUUACGACGACGUAGAGCGCCAAGAGACCCCUCAAAGCACCUCUUCAACCUCGUCCAGAAAAGCUCUAGAAGAAAUCGAUACCAAACUCAAAUAUCUAAAACUCAAAUACCCAAAUUCCCAACAUGCCCUUACUAAUCGCCCCGUCAAGCUUUAUCUCCAUAUCGGUGGCAACACGCCUGCCGCCAAGUGGGUUGUCUCCGAUAAGCUCACUUCUUACAAUUUCGUCAAGACCUGUAAAAUCGAAGGUAAUGAUGAUUCUGAUCAAGAAGAGGAAUCUCACGGCGGAGAUAGCUACUUCUGGAUUUUAAUAGUUGGGUCCAAAGUUAGGGCUAGAGUUUCCACGGAAAUGCAAUUGAAGAUGUUUGGGGAUCAAAGGCGUGUCGAUUUUGUUAACAAUGGAGUCUGGGCGUUGAAAUUUUUCACUGACGAGGAGUAUAGAAAAUUUGUGACCCGAUUUCAGGAUUGUCUAUUUGAGAAUGUUUAUGGGCUUGAAGCCACUGAAGAGAAUAAGAUUAAGGUUUAUGGGAAGGAAUUUAUUGGCUGGGUUAAGCCAGAAAUUGCCGAUGAUACAAUGUGGGAAGAUGCCGAGGGUGAUACUGCGUCUGGCAAAAGUACACCUGUGCGUGUAAAUCAGGAUUUGAUAGAGGAGUUUGAGGAGGCCGCUAAUGGGGGUGUGCAGAGCUUGACUUUAGGUGCUUUGAAUAAUAGUUUCUUGGUUAAUGAUUUGGGUGUUCAAGUUUAUAGGAAUUAUCGUAAGGGUAUUCAUGGGAAGGGCAUUUGUGUGAAGUUUGACGAUAGAAGUGGGACUAUUUCGGAGCAAUCUACUCCAAAAAAAGGCAAUGCUUAUGAGGGCAGAGACGAAUAUGAUGUUAAUGAGUCCAUUAAAGGGAGGGAAGCCAAAUUCAACAGGAAUUCAGCAGCUUGAUAUUGAAACGGGAAAGAUUGUGACAGAGUGGAAGUUUGGGAAAGAUGGGACUGAGAUUACAAUGAAAGAUGUAACAAAUGAUACUAAAGGGUCUCAAUUGGACCCAUCCGAGAGUACCUUUCUGGGUUUGGAUGAUAAUAGGUUAUGUCAAUGGGAUAUGAGAGAUAAGAGAGGGAUGGUGCAGAGUAUUGGGGGUGAUUCUCCAGUUUUGCAUUGGAGUCAGGGGCAUCAGUUCUCAAGAGGGACUAAUUUUCAAUGCUUUGCGAGUACAGGUGAUGGAUCUAUUGUUGUUGGAUCACUUGAUGGCAAGAUUAGGUUGUAUUCGAGGACAUCAAUGAGGCAGGCUAAGACAGCUUUUCCUGGGCUUGGCUCGCCUAUUACUCAUGUGGAUGUUACAUAUGAUGGGAAGUGGGUCUUGGGGACAACAGACACAUAUUUGAUCCUUAUUUGCACUCUGUUUACGGAUAAGGAUGGCAAGACUAAGACUGGAUUUAGUGGUCGAAUGGGAAAUAAGAUACCAGCUCCGAGAUUAUUGAAGCUGACUCCUCUGGAUUCACACUUGGCUGGUGCGAACAAUAAAUUUCAUGGUGGUCAUUUCUCCUGGGUCACUGAGAAUGGUAAACAAGAACGACACCUAGUUGCCACAGUGGGCAAGUUCAGUGUGAUAUGGGACUUCCAACAGGUGAAGAACAGCGCCCAUGAAUGCUACCGUAGUCAGCAAGGUCUCAAGAGCUGUUAUUGUUAUAAGAUAGUGUUGAAGGAUGAGUCCAUUGUUGAAAGUCGUUUCAUGCAUGACAAUUAUGCUGUUAGUGACUCCCCAGAAGCUCCAUUGGUGGUGGCAACCCCCAUGAAAGUCAGCUCUAUUAGCCUUUCUGGCAAGCGGUCUCGAGGCUGAAACACUUAUGUUAAUAUGUACAAAUUCUUUUCUGUAUGUGUAGUUUGCUUCUGCUGUCAUUUCCAAUUCAAUAGUUGUUCUUUCUUUCCCCAUCUUGUAUUUGAUUUGGGCUUUGUAUUUAGCGAGAACAUAUAAAUGAUUGUUUCUGUUUCAAGGACAUUGUAGGCAUAAAAAAGUAUAGCAUUUGUAUCUCUCGAAUCCUAAAGAUAGAUGUGCUCCAAAAGGUCUUUAGACGUGGUUUUUAAUCUUGUAAUUUGGGUAACACAUCUAGGUUAAUUAGUGAUAUUGAAUCUAUUUUACUUUCGCCGUACACUUCU
rnacentral:misc_RNA from 1 species